UUGAGAUCAAAUGCCACCGUUGACCUGCUUCCCGUUAACUCUCUACCCUUGUGGCCUUCUAUCAGAAACAAGCUCAUGGUUGUGGGUGUGGGAGUUGGAGAUCUAGUAGUCCCAAAUUAUAACCAUUGAGCCGUUGACUCGCUUGCCCACUAAGAAGAAAAAGGAUCAUGGCUAUUGUGGGAGAAGCAAUAGUAUCUGCUUCUCUUAAGGUGUUGUUCGACAAGUUGGCCAGCCCAAUCAUCACAGAAUUUGGAUCUUUAUGGGGUAUUGAGAACGAUCUAGCAAAGCUUCAAACCACACUGCGAAUGAUUCAAGCCGUGCUCAACAAUGCCGGCCAAAGACAGACGAAGGAGGAGGCUGUGAAGAUUUGGCUAGAUGAACUCAACCAUCUGGCUUAUGAUGCCGAAGACAUAUUGGACGAGUAUGCAAUCCAUGUUGAGCGAUUGAAAUUGAAAUCAGACCAGGUGCGCCGCCGCUUCAUCCCUUCUUUUUUCAAUCCAAUUACACUGAAACGUAGAAUAGCAUUUGGGAUAAGGGAAAUCAAUGAAAGGCUAGCAGACCUUGCUAGAAGAAAGGAUCAACUGGGUUUGAGGGAGGGCUUUGGAGGGAGUUCGAGCUUUGAAAUUAGAGAAAGACCUCAAACUAGUUCUCUGGUUGAUGAAACUUGUGUUUAUGGACGGGAAAGUGAUAAGAAAAUGAUAAUUGAACUGCUUCUCUCUGAUGAUUCUGAACCUCAUACAGGAAAUGCGGUUGGGGUACUUCCCAUCGUUGGCAUGGUUGGGCUGGGUAAGACUACUCUGGCUCAGCUCGUUUACAAUGAUGAGAGGGUACAUGACCAUUUUGAUCUUACUGCGUGGGUUUGUGUAUCUGAAGAAGUUGACAAUAGGAGGAUAACGAAAGCUAUUCUUGAGUCAGCCACAGAGGAAGUUUGUAGUCUUAUGGACCUAGAUCCUCUCCAGGUAAAACUUAAGAGAACUUUGAAAGGGAGGAGAUUUUUACUGGUUUUAGACGACAUUUGGAAUGAGAAUCAGAAUGAUUGGGAUGUCUUACGGAUUCCUUUCAUGGUUGGAAAACAAGGAAGUAAGAUUAUAGUGACAACAAGAAGUGAGAUAGUUUCAUCAAUCAUGGGUACCGUGCCUGCUCACCAUCUCGAUGCCUUGGCCAAUGAAGAUUGUUGGUCAUUGUUUAAGCAAUGUGCAUUUGUUGAUGAUACAGAUUUGAAUUCACAUCCAAAUUUGGAAGCAAUUGGUAAGGAGAUUGUUAAGAAAUGUAAAGGUGUGCCUCUUGCAGCAAAGACACUUGGAGGCCAUUUACGCUCAAAAGUUAAUGAAGAUGAGUGGAGGUAUAUCUUGACAAGUGAAAUAUUGGAAUUGGGAAAUGAAAAUGGUAUUUUACUAGCUUUAAGAUUGAGUUAUCAACAUCUCCCAGCACAUCUUAAGCGGUGUUUUGCUUAUUGUUCCAUCUUUCCUAAAGACUAUAGGUUUAGGAAGGAGAGAUUGGUCUGGUUGUGGAUGGCAGAAGGCUUUAUACAUUCUGCAAGAGGGAAACAACUGGAAGAUAUUGGUGGCAAGUAUUUUGAUGAUCUGUUUCUGAGGUCAUUUUUCCAAUAUGAUAACUGCGAUAAAUCAACAUUUGUGAUGCAUGAUCUCAUUCAUGAUUUAGCCAAUUCCAUCUCAAAGGAUAUAUGUUUUAGAACAGAAUUUGAUGAUGAAAUCAAAAAUGUUCCUAAGAAGGCCCGUCAUUUGUCAUUCCUUCCUGUAUCUUAUGAACCAGUAAAACUUGAUGCCUUGUAUAAUGCUAAGAGUCUACACACAUUUCUACUGCCAGAUACAAGUAAAGAUGCAUAUAGACACUCCUUUCAGCAGUUGAGCCUCUCCACUCAACGUUGGCAACAACUUCAUAAUCUAUUUCUUGCACUAGGAUGCUUACGUGUUUUGUGCUUGCAUAGCUUCCCCAUCUGUGUGCUACCAAAUUCAAUUGGUAACUUGAAACUCCUACGUUUCCUUGACCUCUCCUACACAGGGAUUGAAAGGCUACCAAAAUCAAUUUGUACCCUCUACCAUUUACAAGCAUUGAUACUUGAUGGUGUGGUUCUUCAUAAGCUACCAAAAAAUUUAAGCAACCUAAUCAGCCUUCGACUUAUCAGGAUGACCUAUAAAGGAAAAACUGGACAUGGAAUUAGAAAGAAGAUUAGUCUUCAAGCGCAAGGUUUGUGGCGAAACAGGGGGUCUAGUCCAGGAAAUUUGAAGAAUUUAAAUUACUUUGAUGGAAACCUUUACAUUUCAAGCUUACAGAAUAUGGUCAAUGUAAUAGAUGCUAAGGACGGCAACUUAGAAGACAAGAAAAACAUUCACGACUUACUGUUGGAAUGGCAUUGUGCAGGAAGAAAAGAAAGGGCUGCAAUAGAAGAAAUAAUUGAGUCCCUUCAACCUUAUGUGAACCUAAAAGGGCUUAGGAUCCAAGGGUACCACAGUUUAAGAUUCCCUAAUUGGAUGGCACAGGUCUCUAAUCUAUUACAAGUUGAAUUUUCCAAUUGUAGCAGGACGCAGACGCUUCCUCCUCUUGGAGAGCUGCCUUUGUUGAAGUACCUUAAAAUUGAGCACAUGGAUAGCAUAAAGCAUAUAGGGUGUGAAUUUUAUGGGGGUAGAAAUGCCACUAUAUUUCCUUCAUUGAAGACACUAAUUUUCAAUGACAUGCCUGCCUGGGAAGAAUGGUCUUGUGGAGUAGUAAAUAUAGACCAAGAGAAAAGUGAAGACUUAUUCCCCUGCCUCUCUAGGCUUGAAAUCAAAAUUUGUCCCAAGCUCAAGGGACUCCAUUUCAAUAGGUUUCCGGCCCUAAAAAAGUUAAACAUAUAUCUUUGUGAUGUAUUGACGGCUAUUACAAAGCUUCAAAUCCCCUCUUACACUGGUUGGAGUGAUGGUGACUUAAGAAAAGAAUCAUCAUCAUCAUCAUCAUCACUGGUGGAACGCAUAGAAUUUCCUUGCUUACGAGAUCUUAGCAUACAGUUUUGUUCAAAGCUGAGGUCAUUGCCUCCACUCUUUCCUUCCUUGGUAUAUUUAGAAAUAACAAAUUGCAAUGAAUUGGCUAAUCUUCCAAGGCUUCCAUCUUUGAUUCGAAUACAUGUUAAUUCAAAACUCAUAUGCAUACCAGAGGAAUUCCUGAAACCCCUAACAGCACUCGAAGAAUUAAAGAUUUGUUCUAGUGUGAAUCUCGUAGCCCUUGGGAACAAGGUUGGGGGAUCACAACACCUUCAAAUUCUCCGGCAUUUGGAAAUUUGUGGGUGUCAUAAUCUUGAGAUCUUGCCUCAGCUUCAUAACCUUAAUUUUCUUAUAUAUUUGAAGAUUGAUGAUGCUCCAAAGCUUGAAUCUUUUCCGGAAAUGGGGUUACCCACCAACCUACAAAAGUUUAAGAUUAAAAGAUGCGAGAAAAUGGAGUCCUUGCCGGAGCAGAUGCACAGUCUCACAUGCCUUGAAAAGUUAAGCAUCCAAAGUUGUCCUUGCAUAAUGUUCUUUCCCCAAGGUGGGCUUCCCACCAACCUAAGGAGACUUAAGAUUAGUGGAUGUGGUGAGAAGAAUGAGGAAAUCCUACCAAAGUGCAUUGGGCUGCAUAAACUUACUUCCCUUGAAGAGUUGACUAUGAAACAAUGUUCUGGACUCAUGUCCUUUCCACGAGAUGAAUGGUUAUUGCCCACCUCUCUUACAAGACUGAGACUCUACAAUUUCGAGAGACUUGAGUGUCUACCACCCAGUUGGUUCCAGCAGCUCAAUGCUCUUGUAUCAUUGGAAAUCAAUGAUGCUCCUAGGCUCAAAUCUUUACCAGAGGAGGGACUUCCCCCCACUCUUCAGAAGCUGGAAAUUUAUCACUGUCCCCUUCUAGAGGAAUCAUGCCGAAAGGACCAAGGGAGGGAUUGGCACAAGAUUGCCCACAUCUCCAACAUAAACAUUUAUUGAACAGGUGUUUGAUAACUGCUAUGGAUGCUUCUGAAGCUGAAGGCAAAGCUUUGCUUGCUGGCCUCAAAUGCACUAAUGAAAUUCAAGCAGCCCUUUUUUCAUUGGAAGGUGAUUCCAGAAAUGCAAUUGCAUUUGAGAUUUCCAGAUGUCAUAUUAUUCUCAGAUGUUUUCGCCAAUCUAGGCAGGCCCUCCCUCCCAUCUGAUAAGAUAUCAAAUUCAUCUUUUUGGCACAUCCAGCGCAUCAGUGUUCUGGAAUUAAUCGUUCCCCUGUUUGGAGGAUUAAACAGUCGCUAACAUAUCGAACAAUCAAAUAUUGUUUGAGGAAAGCUUGCACUUUGUACUGCUGUAAAUGAAGAAGGCUAAGCUUCAAACAAACUCAACCUCUCUGUUCUAAAGUGCACAUUUUGGGAAUUAUCUUAAGCUUUUAACAAUUAACACUGAGCAAAACUUAUUUCUUGGUUCCUGCCAGAAAAUAAAUUGGAAUGGAGAAGAGCUCCUCCACAACGAAAGGUAAAGGGUGUACAAGAAAGAACCAAAUGCAAGCAAGGGCACUAGGGCAACAUAAAUAGAAGCACCAAGGUUCAAAGCAUGUAUAGCACAUUCUGUUUCUGGGGGUGCACAUCCAGACUUGAAUUUUUUGUAAAGUUGAAUACUAUACAGUUGGCUAGGGUAUACUUCCUGUUUGAGUACAUGACGAAAGCUUCUAUUCGGCAUAAUGACAGUUUUGAUAAUUUUGGUUAGGUACUGCAUUAAAGAAGUUCUGGUAAUAGUCACAAGGCAGUGUAUUUUAAUUCUUUUGAUUUUGUUGUAUGCUAUCAGUUGUUUCCUUGUAUUAUUCUUGUUUUUUUUUAUGUUUGAUUUUCAUAAUGUGAUUUUUUAGAAAACACAUAAAAAUUAGCUAUUGAAAUAGUAUUUUUCUC